AGCUUGCUCUUGAUGACGAGUGGCGCACGGGUGAGUAACGCGUAUGCAAUCUACCUUUAACUGAGGGAUAGCCCAGAGAAAUUUGGAUUAAUACCUCAUAAUAAUAUUUUUUGGCAUCAUUAAAUAUUUAAAACUUCGGUGGUUAUAGAUGAGCAUGCGUUCUAUUAGUUUGUUGGUGAGGUAAUGGCUCACCAAGACUACGAUAGAUAGGGGGCCUGAAAGGGUGAUCCCCCACACUGGUACUGAGACACGGACCAGACUCCUACGGGAGGCAGCAGUGAGGAAUAUUGCACAAUGGAGGAAACUCUGAUGCAGCCAUGCCGCGUGCAGGAUGACGGCCCUAUGGGUUGUAAACUGCUUUUUUACAAGAAGAAACCUUGGUACGUGUACCAACUUGACGGUAUUGUAAGAAUAAGCACCGGCUAACUCCGUGCCAGCAGCCGCGGUAAUACGGAGGGUGCAAGCGUUAUCCGGAUUUAUUAGGUUUAAAGGGUUCGCAGGCGGAAUUUUAAGUCAGUGGUGAAAGCCUAUAGCUCAACUAUAGAACUGCCAUUGAUACUGAAAUUCUUGAGUGU
rnacentral:rRNA from 1 species